GCCUGAGCUAUGGAGUGAGACUCUGUCUCAACUCAUGAUUAUCUCAAUAGAGGCAGAAAAGGCCUUUGAGAAAAUUCAAUACCGCUUCAUGCUAAAAAUGGUCAAUAAACUAGGUAUUGAUGGAACAUAUCUCAAAAUAAUAAGAACUAUUUAUGACGAUAUUCUAUAAACCUGACAAAAGCAAGCAAUGGGGAAAGGAUUCCCUAUUUAAUAAUUGGUGCUGGGAAAACUGGCUAGCCAUAUGAAGAAAACUGAAACUGGACCCCUUCCUUAUACCUUAUACAAAAAUUAACUCCAGAUGGAUUAAAGACUUAAAUGUAAAACCUAAAACCAUAGAAACCCUAGAAGAAAACCUAGGCAAUACUAUUCAGGACUUAGGCAUGGGCAAAGACUUCAUGACUAAAAUAUCAAAAGCAAUUGCAACAAAAGCCAAAAUUGACAAAUGGGAUCUAAUUAAACUAAAGAGCUUCUGCACAGCAAAAGAAACUAUCAUCAGAGUGAACACGCAACCUAC
rnacentral:lncRNA from 10 species